rnacentral:misc_RNA from 1 species
UGCAGAGGAAGCAUUAAGAUAAUAUAGGAAAGAAAGGGAAGUUAACAACAUACUUAGCAUCAAGAAUGAAAGACAGUUUCCAAGCUUUGGCAGGAAAUUGAAUUUUAUUGUUUGAUACAAUUAAGAAAAAUUAAUGCAUUGGAAGAGAAGCUACAUGUUUCCUUAACCUAUCAAAUUGAGCAUACAAUAACAUACAGUUGACCCCAAACACUGAGAAGAUAAUCAUCUGA